GUCUCGACAAGAGCGUAGCUAAUUGCAUGAGAGAACUACGAGUGCCAAGACUACGCCAAGUGUCGGGCGUUUUCCGAAGGCUACUGAAAGAUGCUAAACAAUAACAUUAUGCGUCCUUCGUAUUUCAAAUCGACGCCUCAAGGUUCCACAUCUAAGCGUAUGCAAGCAUUGUCGGAAAUCAAGAUCUGAUCGACGCUAGCCUCGCUCGUCACCGAUAAAAAUGAAAGCAUCGUGGUUUGUGGAAGGGCGGUGACGUGGACGGCGUGUUAAGAGAGCGAGAGGAGACAAAGCGAGAAAACAGCGAGGAAAUCGGUUGGAGGGAGAGAGACGACGACAGGCAAUAGUAAUAUCGCGAGUGGGAGAGACGUGGUGAACUCGCAAUCGUGCUGACGUACAGGAUACCUCAAAAGUCACCUGGUUCCUUUUUUAACCUAUCUACAUUUCAAUCACUCUAUCCUGGACAGAUUGUUAUUGCUGCCGCCCCAUGAAAGUGCGGGCGGCAUGCCGCGACGCGAGCCGAGAAAGUAGCCAAAUAGAUGUGAACCGGUUUGCAAUCCUCGUCGUCAUUCCACGCCGUGGAAAGGAAGGAAAGAAGAGUCAAAGGAAGAAAGAGAGCGAACAUGGGGAUAUCUCGAUGAAAAGAAAAGAUACCGCGCACGGCUGUCAUCGCGAUACUUCGGUAGCAUUUCUUUACGCCGACGUUUCUAUAUCGCGGGCGGAAAUUUCGAUCGCCCGAUCGUAAUCUUUCGCGCACUUGAUCGUUGAACGUCGAGUGUGGGUUACCGGAGUAAUAGAAGAACAGUUUCUUACGAGUUAUGGCAAUAUAAUAGAUUGCGGUUUUAGCUCGAAACGUAGAUUGCGCGUUGUUAACGUUUCGAGAGCCGUGCCGGAAAUGGUUACUCUGAGCACAAUCGCCGCCGGCGAUAAAAGAAUGCGCAAGAUACCGGAGAUAAUUAAGAAAUAAUUAAACAUUUACGUUCUUUGAUUUUCUGGGACGCUGUACGAAAUUAGCAUGGAGUUUAUCAGUGAGAUCAGAAAAGCACAUACUGGACUUGCAAUAUCUUUUCUUUAUCACUCAAUAGGAAUUUUCGAAUUUUCUCGAUAAUUUCCAAAUCUCCCG